rnacentral:rRNA from 1 species
CAGUCGCCGCGGGAAUACGGAGGGUGCAAGCGUUAAUCGGAAUUACUGGGCGUAAAGCGCACGCAGGCGGUCUGUCAAGUCAGAUGUGAAAUCCCCGGGCUUAACCUGGGAACUGCAUUUGAAACUGGCAGGCUAGAGUCUUGUAGAGGGGGGUAGAAUUCCAGGUGUAGCGGUGAAAUGCGUAGAGAUCUGGAGGAAUACCGGUGGCGAAGGCGGCCCCCUGGACAAAGACUGACGCUCAGGUGCGAAAGCGUGGGGAGCAAACAGGAUAAGAGACCCCGGUAGUCCCUGUCUCUUAUAA